rnacentral:sRNA from 1 species
GCUGGGCAUGGUGAUGCAUGCCUGUAAUCCUGGCGGCUUGGGAGGCUGAAGCAGGAGGAUCGUGAGUUCAAAGCCAGCCUCAGCAAAAGCAAGGCACUAAGCAACUUAAUGAAACCCUGUCUCUA